AAACGUUGAAAAAAAUUUUUAAAAAGAAGAAGGUUUGGCUUUUAAAAUGUCAACAGAAGUGGCUUCUGCCUACCAAGAGGCAGUAGAUGAGUUCCUAGACACCAUUAAUGAAAUCAUUGAGAAGAAAGAAUGUCAGUGAAACUUUUUAAUAAGAAGUGCCCCAUUCUGCAGGGGCGGGAAUCCACAUUAUUAGGAAGAGAAUCGAGCACCAGGAUUUAAGGCAUGAAAGGAUAGGCUAACUAUGUUUUGGGCAAAUGUAGUUGGGUUCAUGAUCAGGACUGCCCUUACCUAUAAACUGCUAACCUUCAUUGUUUUUUUAAAUGUUUGUUUAUUUUUGAGAGAGAAAGUGUGAGCAGGCAAGAGGCAAAGGGAGAAGGAGACACAGAAUCCGAAGCAGGCUCCAGGCUCUGAGCUGUCAGCACAGAGCCCGAAAGGGGGCUCGAACUCACGAACCCGAGAUCAUGACCUGAGCCGAAGUCGGAUACUUAACCAACUGAGCCACCCAGACACCCCAAAGCUGCUAGCCUUUGAAAAGCUAUUUAGCAGCUGCCAUUCUUUUGGUUGUACAGCAAGAAGGUCUGGAUCCCCCCUUUUUUAAAAAAAAACUUCUUUUAUUGGUUCCAACAGUACUUUGUCCCUGAAGUCAGGAAACACCUUGCAACUAAGGAAACUUCCUUUUAAAGUUCUUUAGAGGGACACCUGGCUGGCUCAGUCAGUGAAGCGUCCAACUUCAGCUCAGGUCAUGAUCUCACAGCUCCUGAGUUCCAGCCCUGCAUUGGGCUCUGUGCUGACAGCUGGACCCUGGAGCCUUUAUCAGAUUCUUUUUUUUUUUUUUUUAAUGUUUAUUUAUUUUUGAGAGAGAGAGAGAGAGUGCAAGCUUGGGAGGCGCAGAGAGAGAGAGAGAGGGAGACACAAGAAUCCAAAGCAGUCUCCAGGCUCCAAGCCGUCAGCACAGAGCCCAACGGAGGGGCUUGAACUCACGAAACGUGAGAUCCUGACCUGAGCCAAAGCCUGACACUCAACUGACUGAGCCACCCAGGUGUCCCAAGAUUCUGUGUCUCCCUCUCUCUCUGCCCCUCCCCAGCUCAUGCUCUGUCUCUAUCUCUCUCAAAAAUAAAAACAUUUAAAAAUUUUUUUAAGUUCUUUUUUUUUUAAUUUUUUUAAUGUUUAUUUAUUUUUGAGAGACAGAGCACAAGUGGGGAAGGAGCAGAGAGAGGGAGACACAGAAUCCAAAGCAGGCUCCAGGCUCCUAGCUAUCAGCACAGAGCCCAAUGCAGGGCUCACGAACCAUGAGAUCAUGACGUGAACCAAAGUCAGCACUUAACCGACUGAGCCACCCAGGCACCCCUUAAGUUCUUUUGAUACUGGACAAUGUCCCUGGCCAUCCAGAACCCCAUGAGUUCAACACUGAAGGUGUCUAAGUGGUCUUUUUUCCCCCAAACACAGCAACAUCUAGAUCACAAGGACCUUUAAGGCUCAUUGCACAUGGUACUCUAUGGAAAGGAUUGUCAGCUAUGGGAGAGUCCUCCAAGAACAGAAUAAAAGUCUGGAAGGAUUACACCCCUGAAGGUGCCAUUGCUGUUAUAGAAAAAGCUGUGAAAGCCAUCAAUCCUGAAACAAUACAUUCCUGCUGGAGAACCUGUGUAUCAGCCUAUCAUCACAGGGAAGUAAUUUUCCAAAAAAUGUAAUAAUGUUUCCAAUACUGUAUUAUGGAUAUGACUGUAAUACUCUAUGUCAUAAGAAUUUUAUAACAAUUUAUUCAGUAAUAUACAGGCUAAGCUGCCAUGAAACAAUCACACUGGGCUACCAAUAAAGCCAUCAUAUUGCUGCUUUUUUGUUUUCAGUGCAUGAUUUGUAAUACCUGUAAAUAAAUGUACAUUUUUUUUCACAUUUCGUUUUUGAGAUAUGUUAGUAAAGCAUAUAGCAUCACAGUGUUUUGUAUCCUAUAAGACAAUAUUGACAGGUACUGACAAAUGAUUUAUCUUGUAAACAGACCAUGUAAACUUACAGUAUCAGUAAUUUUAGUUCUGUAAACGUAUUUUCUCUUAUGAUUUUCUUAACACUUAAUUUUCUCUAGCUUACUUUAUUAUAAGGAUAUAGUAUAUAGUAUAAUAUACAAAAUAUGUGUUCAUCAACUGUUAAUGUUAUCAGUAAGGCUUCUGGUCAACAGUAGGCUAUUACUAGUUAAGUUCUUGGGAGGUCAAAAGUUAUAUGUGGAUUUUUGAUUGGGGGGGCAAUACCCUUAACAUCCACAUUGUUCAAGGUUCAACUGUAUAAAUGAUAUAAAUAUUUGUAUAUUACAUGUUAUAGUAUAUUAUAUGUAUUAUAAUAUUAUAUAUAACAUGUAAUAGAUUCAUAUUAUACCCAAAGGAAUGAGCAAAGCUACGUAAUAAUUAUAAUUAUUAUAACAUAUUAUAUUACAAACUGACCUUCUAUCCAGUGACCUUGAUAAAUUCACUUGUUAAUUAUAAUUAAGUUUAUUUUAUUGGACUUUGUAUACAAAAUGUCAUCUGCAAUAAAGUAAAAUUUUUUACUUCAUCCCUCCAAUUUUUAUACCAUUUUUUUUUCUUGCUUUUUUGCACUGGCCAAGGCCUCCAGAAGUAGUGAUUGUGGGCAUCUCUGCGUUUUUCCCAGAAUCUAAAAGAAAACCCUAGACGUUUUACCAUUAGGUGUGACAUGAAGUGUAAAUUUGUAGAUAAUUUCUAUCAGAUUAAGAAAACUUUCCUCCAAUCUUAGUUUGCUGAGAUUUGUUAUCAUGGGGAGGGGUUAAAUUUCACUAAAUACAUAUUUUGCAUCUAUUGAGAUGAUAUAUGGUUUUCUCAUUCUGUUAAUGUGCUUGAGUUAUAUGGAUUGAUUUUUUUUAAUUAAAAAAAUUGUGAAAUGCACACAACAUAAAAUUUACCAUCUCAACUUUUUUUUUUUUAACGUUUUAUUUAUUUUUGAGACAGAGAGAGACAGAGCAUGAACAGGGGAGGGGCAGAGAGAGAGGGAGACACAGAAUCUGAAGCAGGCUCCGGGCUCUGAGCCAUCAGCCCAGAGCCCGACGCGGGGCUCGAACUCACGGACCGUGAGAUCGUGACCUGAGCCGAAGUCAGCCGCUUAACCGACUGAGCCACCCAGGCACCCCUCAACUAUUUUUAAGUAUAUAGUUCAAUGAAAUUAAGUGCAUUCAUAUUGUGCAACCAUCACCAUGAUCCGUAUCCAAAACCUUUUAUCUUUCAAAGCUGAAACUCAAUACCCAUUACACAAUAAUCCUCUGUGCCCCCUCCCCUCAGUCUCCGGAAACUACUGUUCUAUUUUAAUUAUUUUGAAUUGGACUACAUUAGGAACCUCAUAUAAAUUUUUGUUCUUUCGUGACUGGCCUUAUUUCACUUAGCAUAAUGUUCUCAAAGUUUGUCCAAUGGAUUGAUUUUUGAAUGUUAAGGCAAUCUUCCAUUCCUGGAAGAGAUACCAUUUAGUCAUUGUAUAUUAUCUUUUUAAUAUAUUAUUGGCACCUGGGUGGCUCAGUUUGUUAAGCAUCCAACUUCGGCUCAGGCCAUGAUCUCACCAUCCGUGGGUUCGAGCCCCGCGUCAGGCCCUGUGCUGACAGCUCGGAGCCUGGAGCCUGCUUCGGAUUCUGUGUCUUCCUCUCUCUCUGCCCCUCCCUUGCUCAAAAAUAAGCAUUUAAAAAAAUUAAAAUAUAUAUGUAUAUAUUAUUGAAUUAGAUUUUUAAGUUUUUAUAUAGGAUCUUAUGUCUACGUCCUUGUUGUUUUGUAUGUUUCCUUUCUUGUAGUAGCUUUGUCAGAGAUUAGUAUCAGAAUAAUGCUGGUCUUAUAAAAUUAAUUGGGAAUCACUUCCCUUUUUUGUCCCCCAGAAGAGUUUGUGUAAGACUGUGCAUUAUUAGUAUUGGUAUUCUUUUUCCCAUAAAUAUUUUCUGUAAAAAUCAUCAGUAAAGCCAUCUGGGCUAGGAAUUUUCUAUUUAGGAAAGUUUUAUGUUUUUAUUUUUAUUUAAAAAAAUUUUUUUUAAGUUUAUUUAUUUGAGAGAGAGAGACAGAGUGAGCAGGGGAGGGGCAGAGAGGGAGGGAGCGAGAGAGUCCCAAGCAGGCUGUUUACUGUCAGCAUGGAGCCCAACACGGGGCUUGAACUCCUGAACCAUGAGUUCAUGACCUGAGCCGAAACCAAGAGUCAGAUGCCUAACCAACUGAGCCACCCAGAUGUCCCUGUGUAGAAAAAAUUUCAAUUAUACAUUCAAUUCCUUUGAUAGACAUAGGACUAUUGAUAUUUUCUGUCUCUUGUGUCAUUUUUGGUAAAUAUCAUUUCAUCUCCAUAUCAUUUCAUUGAAAUAUCUAAUUAUUAGCUUUAAAUAGUUUAUAUCUGCUUGUUAUAUUUUUAAUAUCAGUAGAAUCUAAAGUGAUAUUCUCUUUUCUGUCUCAGCAUUGGUAAUCUGUGAGGUCUCUUUGUUUUCUUGAUUAGGCAUUCUAGGGAUUUAACACUUUAUUAAUCUUUUCAAAAGGUCACCUCUUAACUACUAUAUAAUUGAUUUCUUUUUCAGUGGUUCAUGCUCUUUUCUAAAAACAACCUAAUUCAAGUGAGCAAAACUUGCAAAUAUUUCACAAAAGAGAAAUAUCAAUGACCAUUAAACACACGAGCCUUUCUAUUUUAUUUGAGUUUAAUCCACUGGGGUUUUUUUCUAGCGUCUUGAAAUUUAAGUCUUAGAUAAUUGAUUUUUUCCAACCUUUCUUUUUGGCUAAUAUUUUCAUUUAACAAUCUAAAUUUCUCUAUAUGCAUCCAUUUCACUGCAUCUGGUAGAGGUUUUUAUCACCUUUAUUGAAUCAUAAUUAUACAUAUAAUAAGUUGCACUAAAUUUAACUUUACAUUUUGAUGAGUUGGGGUAAAUACACACUUUAAUAUAACUACCACUAAAAUCAAGAAAUAUAACAUUUUCAUCACCCCAAAAAUGUUCUAUAUCCCUUUCCAGACGAUUCUCCCCACCUGACUCCAAGAAACCAUUAAUCUGCUUUCUGUCACUAUAUGUGAGAACUGUCUUUACGAGAAUUUUAUACCAGUGGAAUUACAUUGUAUAUACUGUUCUGUGCCCACUUCCUUUCACUCAGCUUAAAUUUUGAGAUUUAUUUAUGUUGUGUAUGUCAAUAUUUCAUCCCCCUUUAUUGAUGAAUGGAAUCCCAUUGUAUUAAUAUGUCACUAUUUAUUUAUUUACCCAUUGAUGAACAUUUGGAUUGUUUCCACCUUGGAGCUACUAUGAAUAAACCUGCUAUGAACACUCAUGUAUAAGUUUUUGUGUAAA